GGCUGUGCGCCGGCCCCGGGUCAGCAGGCAGAUCUCUGCAGUAAUUGAGAAGAGGCUUUAGGACCUGUGCCCAGAACUCCUUGUCACUGGGCCUCUAGCAGUCAACCCAGCUUUAUCAGGCUCCUCCCUAGACUUGGGACAAACUAUUGAUUACCUCCCACACCAGGGUGCCUAAAUCCUCCAAACACUGUCUCUCUCCAGACUUGCACAAUUACUGCAUUACUGCUUCCUGUUUUUCCCACUCUCUCCAAAUUGAAGCUGACCAACAGGCAGGUCUUGCCCGCCUCCAGAGUCCCAAUUAUCCCACUCCAAUUCCAACUCCACCCUCAUUUCCCUAUUCCAAGGGGUGGACCUGGGGCAACUCACCCUUGUGUCCUUUCCCCUCCCAUGCCCUUGAAUGAAUACCUUUUCUCUGAAGGAGAAGAGCAGUGUUCAGGGACAGAGUGAAAAGUCACAGAGGUCUGCUGACCCCCAAAGUAGGAUCCAUCAGUGAGGCGGGUGUCCUGGGCGCCACGAGCCAGCACACUGAGCAGCCCAUGCUGGAUGAAGUACAUCUUCCUGCCCACGGAGCCCUCACGCACCACGAGGUCCCCUGGCUGGAAGACCUCAAAUCGCAGUUUGUCCCUGCUGACCUUCUCCUGGUACUGACGCCGGGAAGAAUCCAGAGACUGAAUGAGGGCGGUGGCAUGACCGAUGAACAUGGCGUAGCAUGUGGCACCCACAAUCAUGCUGAGCAUGCCCCUCUGCCCUCUUCUACUUCCAACCUUUCUCCUAGCAGACUGGAAGAAGACCCCUUAGAAGGCCCAGGAAGGCCCAGCUGUGGGGGCUUCUCACCACCAUGUGGUUGAUGGAGACCCAGCAGUCAGGAGGGAAGUCCUGCAGCAUGGGGACCAGGAACUGCAGACAGCCAUCCCAGUGACACAGCAGCAGCAUCAUCCCAAUGAGGUUGAAGAUGCGAACCACAGCACUGGCCAGGUCAUAGGUCAUGUGGAAGAUCUGAGGAGUCCGAGGAGGAGCUGCUAUGCAUACAAGCCCCUCCCUGCUGGUCCUCCUCCAUUCCCAGCCUUGUCAGUUCUCUCUCUGAACCUCUCCCUAGCUCCAGCCCCACAAAUUAAAAGAUAACUGUUA